rnacentral:rRNA from 1 species
GAUGAACGCUGGCGGCGUGCCUAAUACAUGCAAGUCGAGCGAACAGACGAGGAGCUUGCUCCUCUGACGUUAGCGGCGGACGGGUGAGUAACACGUGGAUAACCUACCUAUAAGACUGGGAUAACUUCGGGAAACCGGAGCUAAUACCGGAUAACAUGUUGAACCGCAUGGUUCAAAAGUGAAAGACGGUCUUGCUGUCACUUAUAGAUGGAUCCGCGCCGCAUUAGCUAGUUGGUAAGGUAACGGCUUACCAAGGCAACGAUGCGUAGCCGACCUGAGAGGGUGAUCGGCCACACUGGAACUGAGACACGGUCCAGACUCCUACGGGAGGCAGCAGUAGGGAAUCUUCCGCAAUGGGCGAAAGCCUGACGGAGCAACGCCGCGUGAGUGAAGAAGGUCUUCGGAUCGUAAAACUCUGUUAUUAGGGAAGAACAAAUGUGUAAGUAACUAUGCACGUCUUGACGGUACCUAAUCAGAAAGCCACGGCUAACUACGUG